GAACCCAGAACCAACAUCAUGCACACUUGGCUCUGUCACAAACUGGGGAGAGGGCCUUUAGAGUAAGUUUCUUGUGAUAAUUUUUCAGGGACCCCCACAGAUUGCUCCCAUCAGAUGCAAGUCUACAGGGAAAGAGGACACAUGAGUAGGAUUAACCAGACAGCCCAGAAACUACUAAAUGUCCCAGCAUUGUGUGGCUGUUUCUAUCUCAACAGUUACUGAAACCUCGAAUGUCUCCACCCCUCAACUAACAACAAAACAGAAGCCAAUCUGACAGCUGAUUCGAGGGGGACGUUGCAGGCACUGGAAACUUGAAGCUGGUGGCUGUGAGCUGCCUUCUUGAACCACUGCAGUCCAUUUGGUGGAGAGAGAGAGAUACACAAUGCAGUGCCAGGUAACGUUUCAGACCAAAGGAGAGCACUGGUCCUCUAGCACGCACACGCUCUGGAAAUCUUAC